UGUGCCUGUCCCUCCGCAGCUUCCCUGGAGAACGAUUUCAUGUUUUCUUCCAGUAAAGGUGUUACAUAGUGUGGGGCUGAGAAUAGAUCGCCAUGGAGCUUCUUGGAAACUACGGGGUACAAGGUGCAAAGGCACAGUCACUCAUAAUUUCCCGCUGCUAGACAAGGAUGGGGAAGGAAGAGGAAGCCAUACGGGUACUGGCAGAAAGUCCAGCAGGAAGCCUGGGGGUCAGAGAGGAACCAGCGCCUGGUCUAGUUGGCUCGGU